UCCGUGAUACUAGACAAAAAGGAUGCUUCUGUAUGGUCCUCAUCAAAUAUACGCCCUACAGAACCGAUAAGGGAGCUCACAUCAGCAAGGGAUCUAUGCAUUGCUAUACUGAGAAAAGAUGGACUCAUAACUGAGUCACAAACUAGAAUCAUUUUAGAGGAAUCCACUGAUUGUAAUGCCAACCACUUGGUGACAUGCAAUACUUGUGGAAGCUUGGAUGUUCCACUAAAGAUGCUUAUAUGUGAUUCUUGUGAAGCAGCAUUCCAUUUGCCUUGUUGCAUCCCUUGUAUUAAGGUGGUACCAGCUGGUGAAUGGUAUUGUCAGCCAUGCUUGAAGAAGAAACCUAAGAGUCUUUAUGGUCAACUGUUAGAGGGCAAGGUCAAGUCUUCCGGGAAUAUGGACCAAAGGCCUCAUGGCAUGAGUCAUACAGAGUACAUGUUCAACGAUGCUGAAUCAUACGUUACUGGGGUUCGACUUGGUGGAGAUUUCCAAGCUGAAGUGCCAGAAUGGUCUGGUCCCAUUUCCAGGUGUGUUGACACAAUUGCUUGUAGUUCUAACAUUUCAAUUGGUUAACUCUGAGAAAACACAUUUGCAUUGGUUAACUCCGAGAAAACACAUUUGCAUUAGUUAUAGGAAUAGUACCAUGUAAUUUUGGUGGAGUAAACAUAAAUUUCUGAAGAUAGCUAAUUAAAUGACUAUCCUUUUUUUUGCAUUCACCAUAAUCUUUAUAAGAUAUGCUCUUCCUAAUCCUUGGAUCAAAUUCAUAGCUAAAUCAUCAUCUUAGAUACUAAUCAAACUUUUUAAAGUGUGCAUGUGCCCAAGUGUAUUCUAAAUUCUAAACUCAGAAGAACAUCGUUGGGGCGUUACCCUUUUAGGGACGUGCCAUAUCGGAACCAGGGUGUGGUGUUAAGUGAUAAGUGAGCAAGGAUCAGGUCAUUGAUCCUUAGUGGCGCUAUAUCGACGCCCGGGUGUAGUGAAAAAUGAGCAAGGGUCUUCGCAUUUGACUCGUUGAGUGCGAAGGGUAAGGAAGCUAGCCGAGCCAAGUAGGAUCCGCUUAGGUAGUUGGAAUGUAGGGUCCGGUAAGUUACGGGAGUUAGUUGAUACAUCGGUUAGGAGACGUGUUGAUAUCCUAUGCGUCCAAGAAACCAAAUGAAAGGGACAUAAGGCGAAGGAGGUGGAGGACACUGGCUACAAGCUGUUGUACACGGGAACAACUACAAAUAGAAAUGGAGUAGGCAUCUUUAUCAACAAGAGCCUUAAGUAUGGAGUGGUAGAUGCAGGAGGCAAGGGACUGAUCAAGAGGCAAGGGGAUUGGACUAUCCUAGUCAAGCUGGUCGUUGGGGACUUAGUUCUCAGUGCUACCAGCGUGUAUGCCCUGCAAAUAGGCCACAUUGAGAGCAUCGAUAGGGAGUUCUAGGAAGGCCUGGACAUGGUUAGCAGUGUACCUAUUGGCGACAAGCUCUUCAUAAGAGGAGACCUCACUGGCCACAUCGGUAUGUUAACACAUGUUUUGAAGGGUGCAUGAUGGCUUUGGUUAUGGCAGCAAGAAUCAAGGAGAGGAUGUCUUAAGCUUUGCUUUAGCCUAUGACAUGAUCGUAGCUAACACAUUCAGAAAGAGAGAAUCCGAUCUAGUGAUUUUUAGUAGUGAUCAACGCUCUAGCCAGAUUGAUUCCAUCCUCUCGAGAAGAGAAGACAUGCGUGCUUGCCUAGAUUGUAAGGUGAUACUUGGAGAGGGAGGGAGAGAGAGAGAGAGGGAGGGAGGGAGGGAGGGAGAGAGAGAGAGAGAGGUGGUGGAAGCUCAGGAGGGCUCUUGGGAGGAAGGUGAUGCGAACAAUAUGUGGACGAAGGUAGCGACUUGCGUUUGGAAGGUGGCUUACGAGGAGUUUGGGGUGACCAGUGAAAGUAGAAGCAAAGCUAAAUACCUGGUGGUGGAACUAUGCUGUCCAGAAGGCUAUUAAGGAAAAGAAAGGUUGUUUCAAAUGCCGACACUUGGAUAUGUGUGCAGGCAACAUAGAGAGUGGCAAAGAAGACCACGAAGUGAGUUGUGAGUGAAGCUAGGGAUUGGGCGUAUGAGGACCUCUACCAACAUUUAAACACGAAGAAAGGCAAAAGGGACAUCUAUACGAUGGUCAAGAUCCGAGAUAGGAAGACGAGGGGUGUCAACCAAGUCAAAUGCAUCGAGGACGGAGCAGAUCGGCUUCUAUUGAAGGACGAGGAGAUCAAGCAUAGAUGGCGAGAGUACUUUGACAAACUAUUCGACGGAGAGAAUGAGAGCUCACCAUUAAGCUUGACAACUCCGUUCUUGAUAUCAACAUAUGUUUUGUGCGACGAAUGCAGGAGUUUGAGAUCAGGGAGGCUUUAAAAAGGAUGAAAGGAGACAAGGCGAUGGGCCCUAUUUGUAUCCCCAUUGAGGUGUGGAGAGGCGUGGGAGACAUCGAUAUUAUGGCUAACUAAGCUUUUCAAUCUCAUUUUGGUGAGACAAGAUGUUCGAAGAAUGAAGGCGGAGUAUAUUAUUCGUACCAAUCUUCAACAACAAUGGGGUUGUUCAAAGUUGUACAAAUACCGUGGAAUUAAGUUGAUGAGCCAUACAAUGAAGCUAUGGGAGAGACUCAUUGAGCACCGCUUAAGAAGAAUGACACGCGUGACCAAACAUCAUUUUGGUUUCAUGCUUGGGAGGUCGGCCAUGGGAGCCAUUUUCUUGGUACAACAACUUAUGGGGAGAUACAUGGAGCAAAAGAAGGACCUGCACAUGGUGUUCAUUGACUUGGAAAAGGCCUACGAUAAGAUGCCGCGGAAUGUCAUGUGGUGGGCCUUGGAGAUACACAAAGUCCCAACAAAAUACAUUACCCUCAUCAAAGACAUGUAUGAUAAUGUCGUGACAAGUGUUCGAACAAAUGAUGGCGAUAUUAACCACAGCAAGGGUCAACUUUGAGCCCUUGUCUUUUCUGCUUUGGUGAUGUAUGAGGUCACAAGGGAUAUACAAGGAGAUAUCCAAUGGCGUGUGCUCUUUGCGGAUAAAUGUGGUGCUAGUCGGUGAUAGUCAGACCUAGUUUAAUAGAAAAUUAGAGCCGUCGAGACAAACUUUGGAAUCAAAAGAUUUUAGGCUUAGUAGAACUAAAACUGAGUACACAAGGUGCGGUUUCAGUAUUACUAGGCACGUGGAGAAGGAGGUUAGCCUUGGUGGGCAGGCGGUACCUCAGAAGGAUACCUUUCGAUAUUUGGGGUCAAUGGUGCAGAAGGAUGGUGAUAUCGCUGAAGAUGUGAGCCAUCGAAUCAAAGCUUGAUCGAUGAAGUGGUGCCAAGUUUCUUGUGUUCUUUGUGACAAGAUAGUGCCACAAAAGCUAAAAGCUAGGUAGGAUGGCGAUUCGACCUAUGAUGUUGCAUGGCACAGAAUGUUGGCCAACUAAAAUGGCGACAUGUCCAACAGUUGAGUGUAGCAGAGAUGCACACACUGAGAUGGAUAUGUGGCCACACAAGAAAGGAUUGGGUCCAGAAUGAUGAUAUACGUGAUAGAGUUGGGGUAUCUCAGAUUGAAGAGAAUUUUGUCCAAUAUCGUCUGAGAUGGUUUGGGCAUAUACAACACAGGUAUCCAGAAGCACCAAUGCUUAGCGAACAGAUGAAGCGCACUAAUAAUGUCAAGAGAGGUCGGGGUAGACCAAACUUGACAUGGGAGGGUCCGUAAGAGAGAUCUGAAGGACUUGAAUAUCACCAAAGAACUAGCGAUAGACAUAGGUGGGUGGAUGUUAGCUAUCCACGAGCUAGAACCAUGACUUGGUUUUGAGAUCUUAUGGGUUUCAACUCUAGCCUACCCCAACUUGUUUGGGACUGAAAGGCUUUGUUGUGGUUAUUGUUGUUGUUGGUAGUGGUACUAGGCUGCUACUUGCCAUUGGACAAGAGGUGUUUUGUGCUUUUAAUCUUGAACGCUGAUUCUGUUUUCAUUGAAAAGUCUGAUAAUUUCAAAAUAUUUACCAGUAAUAUUUAUGUUUUUAUUGUUAUUGAUCAGUCAAGUAAUAGGAACUUAAAAUAUCAUAGAAGAUAUGGAAGGCCUAUACAUGUCAGGAAAAUAGUAAAUUUUGGAAGUCCAAAAUAAAACUAAAGGUUUGAGAACAAAGUUGCCUGCACUCACAACUGGUUGGUUGGGAAUAUAGUGCAAUCAGAUGGCCUCUCUGUUGCAAACUUAUGGUACCGUAUACCCUAGUUCCGAACUAGUAUCUAAUUUAUUCAAUGCUUUUAGCGUUGGUGUAGUCCAACAAAUAAAUUUUAGGCCCUCUUUGAUUCGUAGGAUUCUCAAAACGCAGGAAUAGGAAAAAUAAAGGAUUGAAGUGGCAUUGCCCACUUGAAUCCCAUAGGAUUAGCACAGAGUGUUUGAUGCCAUAGGAAAAUCAAAGGAAGUGAAAAAGGGGUGGGAUUGAUUUCCAAUGAAAUCUAGUACACAUGAUUCCAUAGGAAAAAUUCCUAUAGGAUUCAAUCCUAUGAAUCAAACGACCAAUGUAGGAAAAAACCCUAAGGGUUCUAACCCUUUAAAAAUCCCAUGGAAUUCCUUUGAAUCGAAGGAGCCCUUAUUAAAAACUCAUAAUGUGUUAUCUUGUGGUAUGAGUGGUUCCUAUUUAGUUCUGCUUACAUUCUUAAUGCUCUUGUUUCAUGUUUAUUCUGCUUCGUUUUUUAAACAAUUUAUUCUACUUCGUUUUGUGUAGUAGCGAUGGUUAUUUCACAGCGCCCUCUGAAUUUGAUCCUGCUGAACUCAUGAAACUGAAUGUAAGAUUUGUAUUUUUGAGUUAGUAGUACUUCCCACAUACAGUUUCUUAAGCUGGUUUCUUGCUUGCGUAGUUCUGUUCAAAGAAUAAUCACAACAAAUCUUCAAGUUCAACUGGUAAUUGGGUACAAUGCCGUGAGGUCUUGAGCACAGGAGAUCCUAACAAGCCAGUAAUCUGUGGCAAGUGGAGAAGGUAAAGAACUUUGCAGUUUUUUAUUUGAUAGGUAUUUCUAUUAACUUUGAUUUUAUAACAGCUCAAUUACUGGAAAUAUCAAAUUUCAAAUUGCCAUGUCAGCCUCUGUCAUCUGAGUUACUGCAUGCUUGUUACUUAUGAUUCGCUUUUGUACAAAUUCCCUAAACAUUCUUUAGUGUGUAGAAGCUACAAGCCUAGAACUACCUUUUCCAUACUACCUCAAGGUUGUUUGUAUUGGUUCAACUGUUUGCUAGAUAUAUAGCCGCUCAUCUGAACUAUAAACUAGCCACACUUGCUUGAUUUCUAGUCUGAAGCAGGCACGUAGCACAAAAAGAGACAUGUUUAAACUUAUGAUUUUGACCCGACAUACGUUUUUGCUAGAAAUAGACCUUAAGAUCUGAACCCCACAUAAGUUAUAUUAGAAAUAGACGUUGGGUCUUCCACAAGAAUUACGAGUUGACGAGUCGAGCCGAGGUUGAGACUCAUAGACUAAUCGUGACUACUCUAGACUACUGCCGGACUAGUCGACAUGGUACUGUAGUACUCAACUUACAGUACUCAGCUACUAAUGCAUAGUAUGUAGCAUACAUUGUAUAGUACCGUACAGCAUACAGUAAAAAUUGAAUGCAUGGGAAGUGAAUGAAGAACCCAAGGCUGGGCCAAUUGUAAUAUCCAAUGGCCAGGGCCACAGGGGAGAAAUCAAACCCAAGAAGGGAAGGAGUGAAGGGAGAAAUUACUUGCUACAACAUCAGAGGAGUGCUUGCUUGCCAUCGCCGACGCAUCCAGGAGGAACACAGCAGCAGAGGGGCGGAUCCAGGGGAGGAGCAUAACAGUAGGGGCGGAUCCAGCAGAGGAAGAGGAGCAGAAUGCUCCUGGCCACCACCGCCGGCAAUGGCGAGUCAGUGGGUGGCGGCGGCGGCCCUGUCCCAGGUGAGGCGGGCAGGCGGCUCGUUGUGGAGGAGCC
rnacentral:lncRNA from 1 species